CCUCCUCGCUCCAGCGGCCUCCCCACGCCGGCACUCAGAGCCAGAGGACCUCCCUCAUGGCAUUGCUCUGCUCCAUGCCGUUCUCACGCCGGCGGCCGCCUUGGACAGAUCGGACACGACGCGGCCCCAGUUCCAGCGGGAUCGGGAAGGACGCGCUUGAUGCACCCAUCCCCGCCGAGAUUCCAGCGGGAUGAGCUGCGCAUGGAGAAGCUCGGCGGCCUGCUCCGCCUCCUUGCCGCCGCCAUUAAGACUCGCAAGCCAUUUCUGUGCAGCCGAUUCAGCAUGUGCGCAUGCUACUGGUCUGCUCCGGGCUAUCCUCGCAGCGGCGGCCUAGGACGCAUCAGGAGCAGCCGUCCCUGCGGCGGCCCUGUUCCAGCGGGAUGACCUCGGGAAUGAGAACAUGUUCUCCUGUUGUUCUUCACUCUUUUUUUCCUUUGCUCACACCAGCCGUACCCGUACAUAGCCCGUUGCUUCAACUGCUGUGCAGCCCAAUGCUUGAAAUGGCCCACACUGUUUAUCUUCUCCGUUUCCAUAACUACCUCCUAAAAAAAAUCUGCUGCAGGUAAUUGAUGGUCGACGCUCCGCUUCCUCUCCCCACGAUGUCCGCAAGAAACUGAUGGGUUCCCUUUUAAAGUUGCUGCCCCACUCAUUUUAUUCCCAUCAUCCUCCCAUAUGGAUGGAUGUCUGCCAUACGACGCUCAUACUGCUGCCAGUGGUUUCUUCCUGGCCGCCUUGGGAUCGAGCGGCUGUUUUCUUACUGAAGAUUACUUCCCACACACUCUCCAAUCUGAAGACUGGAACCUUCUUACUGAAGAGUACUUCCCAGGAACACGCCAAUCUGAAGGUGUAUGCAAAUUUAAAUGUUUUACCGCAAAGCAUGUUGGUUCACUUCCUUUUUUUGUUGAAGUUCCACAAUAGUUCUUCUACACUUCCCUCUGUGUAAUUGUUCCAUGUAGAUUUUAGGUAAAGAGUACAAACUAUGGAUGCAUUAAUCGAUUAUUCUCGAGUUUCUUUUGUUUGGUCGACAACAGAUCGCUGAAACUUAAUAGUGUGCUGGAGAUUACAAAUAGAUAGAAAUGGUGAAGAUAAAUCUUUUUGAUGAACAUUCUCAUGCUACUUUUCCCAUUUUAUUUGCUUUUAGGCACAGUGAAGAGUUUCCUGGUGUCACAAGCUUACUCCAAAUACCACAAAUACAAGUGUGUAACGACUAUCUAGCACAUGCUCAGCGGUGCUUCCGUCGGACUGCGAGGUGCAUGCUUCAAGUGGCUAGCAGAUAAAUCAACCUUGUGGUCAUGGUGAUGCUGAAGUCUCCCUUCGUCUCCAUCUUAUGCAUCACACAGCUGGCUCUCCGGUUAUUAUGAUGUUUUCUGCUUCUCCAUCUCGCUGUCAGCUUGCAGCCUAAGCUUUACAUAAUGCAGAAGCAUGCAUAGUUGUGCAUCAGAGAAGGCAAAAAUAAUAAUAAUCAGAGGUGCCUAGGACUACUGUCGUGAAUGACAGCCCAAAAUAAAUAGCAGUAUGCUGCACAAAUUUGUUCCGCU